rnacentral:rRNA from 1 species
UGCUACAGCAUCGCCAUGAGCACAACUGAUCUGGUCUGAUUUUGGAAGCUAAGCAGGAUCAGGCCUGGUUAGUCUUUGGAUGGGAUUCCAUCAGAAACACGGAGGCUGGGCAG